UACGGGGGGGGCAAGCGUUGUUCGGAAUUACUGGGCGUAAAGGGCUCGUAGGUGGCCAACUAAGUCAGACGUGAAAUCCCCAGGCUUAACUUGGGAACUGCGUCUGAUACUGGGAGGCUUGAAUGCGGGAGAGGGAUGUGGAAUUCCAGGUGUAGCGGUGAAAUGCGUAGAUAUCUGGAGGAACACCGGUGGCGAAGGCGGCAUCCUGGACCGACAUUGACGCUGAGGCGCGAAAGCCAGGGGAGCAAACGGG
rnacentral:rRNA from 1 species